rnacentral:rRNA from 1 species
GUGAGUCAUCGAAUCUUUGAACGCACCUUGCGCUCCUUGGUAUUCCGAGGAGCAUGCCUGUUUGAGUGUCUUGAAAUCAUCAAACCCCUCUGGUUUCUGCUGGAGCGGGUUUGGACUUGGGGGUUUUGCUGCCUCGUGGCGGGCUUCCCCUUAAAUGAACUCGGUCGGGCUUUCGUGUGGCUUGUCCCUUGGCGUUGUAUCAACCUCGUCGCUGGAUGGCUCGCGAGCUUAGCGCCCCUCCAAGACCAGCCUCUGGAGUGGCGGUCAACUUCAAUUUGUGAUCUGACCUCAAAUCAGGUAGGACUACCCGCUGAACUUAAGCAUAUCAAUAAGCGGAGG